UACGUAGGGUGCAAGCGUUAUCCGGAAUUAUUGGGCGUAAAGAGCUCGUAGGCGGUUUGUCGCGUCUGCUGUGAAAACCGGAGGCUCAACCUCCGGCCUGCAGUGGGUACGGGCAAACUAGAGUGCGGUAGGGGAGAUUGGAAUUCCUGGUGUAGCGGUGAAAUGCGCAGAUAUCAGGAGGAACACCGAUGGCGAAGGCAGGUCUCUGGGCAUUAACUGACGCUGAGGAGCGAAAGCAUGGGGAGCGAACAGG
rnacentral:rRNA from 1 species